rnacentral:rRNA from 1 species
CCUACGGGUGGCAGCAGUGAGGAAUAUUGGUCAAUGGGCGGGAGCCUGAACCAGCCAAGCCGCGUGAGGGAAGAAGGUACAGCGUAUCGUAAACCUCUUUUGUCAGGGAACAAAGGCGGGGACUAGUCCCCUGAUGAGGGUACCUGAAGAAAAAGCAUCGGCAAACUCCGUUCCAUCAGCCGCGGUAAUACGGAGGAUGCGAUGUUUAUCCGGAUUUAUUGGGGUGAAAGGGUGCGCAGGCGGCCUGUUAAGUCAGCGGUAAAAGCCCGGGGCUCAACCCCGGCGAGCCGUUGAAACUGGCGGGCUGGAGUUGGAGAGAGGUGCGCAGAAUGCGAGGUGUAGCGGUGAAAUGCUUAGAGAUCGCGCAGAACCCCGAUUGCGAAGGCAGCGUACCGGCUCCACACUGACGCUGAGGCGCGAAAGCGUGGGUAUCGAACAGGAUUAGAUACCCCAGUAGUC